AAUCCGAGAAUUUCACCUCUAGCGCCGCAAUACGAAUGCCCCCGUCUGUCCCUCUUAAUCAUUACCUCAGAUUCCGAAGACCAACAAAAUAGAACCGAGGUCCUAUUCCAUUAUUCCAUGCAAGAUUAUUCGGGCGUUACGCCUGCUUUAAGCACUUUAAUUUUUUCAAAGUAAACGUACAGAUCGCUCAUGACACCCGGUAAAGAGCAUCACAAGACAGGUCUGUAAGAUGUUCAGCUAAGUAGUAACCACCGGCAAGUGGACCACUUAACAUGAACUGAGAUCCAACUACGAGCUUUUUAACCGCAACAACUUUAAUAUACGCUAUUGGAGCUGGAAUUACCGC
rnacentral:misc_RNA from 1 species